rnacentral:rRNA from 1 species
AACCAGCACCUCAAGUGGUCAGGAGGAUUAUUGGGCCUAAAGCAUCCGUAGCCGGCUCUGUAAGUUUUCGGUUAAAUCUAUAUGCUCAACGUAUAGGCUGCCGAAGAUACUGCAAAGCUAGGGAAUGGGAGAGGUAGACGGUACUCGGUAGGAAGGGGUAAAAUCCUUUGAUCUAUCGAUGACCACCUGUGGCGAAGGCGGUCUACCAGACAUGUUCGACGGUGAGGGAUGAAAGCUGGGGGCACGAACCGG